rnacentral:lncRNA from 1 species
GGUAAGCAGCACAUUUUGUACAUUAUUUUUAAAGCUCUGAAUAACUUCAUCAAAAUCUACUGAAGGUUUCACACUCAAUACCUAAGUUCCAAAUACAUAUGGAAAGAUGUCACUAAACAUCCACUCUGGCCCAUUCAUUCAGACUCAUGUCUAAAUUUAUUCACAUUACCUAAAAUUACUUAUCUUCAGUUAAUUUAUUGGUGAUGUAUUUUCAAGUGGCUAGUCCACAUAUCUGUGUAUCAAGGUUGUAAAUUAUUAGUUACAGUACCAGGAACUACCAGAUUAUCAGUAGUUCAUUGAAUAGGAGUCCCACAAGAAUUGUUGUCACCAUAUGCAAGCCUAAUCCUGUGAUAAUGUUAGCAUAGUGGGACUAUAAUGUUCAUCUCAAUAUGAUGUGUUGCGUUUGUUGGCAGACUGCACGGGUUUCACACUGAGACCAGUAGCUGGUCUGCUGUCAUCACGGGACUUCCUGGCAGGGUUGGCUUUCCGUGUCUUCCAUUCAACACAAUAUAUCCGACAUGCCAGCUGCCCACUAUACACCCCAGAACCUGAUGUCUGCCAUGAGCUGCUAGGCCACGCACCACUCUUUGCUGACCCUGCAUUUGCACAGUUCUCACAGGAGAUUGGUCUAGCCUCCCUUGGUGCACCAGAUGAUUACAUCGAGAAGCUUGCAACAGUGAGUAUUGUAGCUAUCUAUAGGCUCCAAGUAGUAUUGCACAUUUGCUGACUAGGCUUUUAAUGAAAAAGUCACCGGCUAGAAGUAAAGUUACUAUAGUCUCUAUAUUCUAUAAGUCCUUUCAGUAUUGUCAUUAUCAAACAACUAUACAAAAAGAUUUAAAAAAAUACAUAGCCAUGUAUACAAUAUUUAAAAAGAGUACAUUUGUGCUCACUGUAAAGACAACACUCUGAGCAGCAUAGAGGCACAAUAAGAUCAUCCUAACGAAUGUUUGGCCAGUCUUAAUGAGAAAAACAAGAUAAACAAACACAUAAAUUCAUACAGUCAUAUACAUACAACUCAUGUGCAUGCAAAUGCAUUGCAUGCACGCCUUUUCUAAUGAAGGCCUGGCUGAAAGCUCAUUUGAACUUUUUGCCUGCCUGCUUCUUGUCAUGUCAUCUUAACGGUGAGUAACAAUACAUAAUUUCCACAGUAUUGUAGAUGUACCAACCUGGACUUAUAUAAUUGUUUGAUUUAACCAUAAGUAAUGCAAUGAAAUUAGGUUACAAAGGACUACCUGUCAUUUGCAACAUCCAGGUUUCUAAUAGAUAAACAUAAAUGGGAGUCAAAUGAAAACACAGUGACUGCUUUGCACCUAGACAUACAUCUCAAUAUUCUUGAGGAAAUUGUAAACAUUAUACUGACAAUUCAUACAAUACUCUAAUUGACAGAUUGGUUCAACCAUAAGUGACAUACUGGAUAUGUGGUUUCCACCUCUCUCAUGGGACACUUGACAACUACAUGAAAAAGCAAACUUUAUAAGUCACAUUUGUACAAUUUAACUUUUAGACCCAGAUUUCAUAAGAAAUGAAUGCUUACACAUUCAUAAAAUCACAGUGGCACUACUCACAUACAUGACUACCAUCUCCAGUAUAUAUAUAUUGUGAGUCAGGAUGGUGGCCAGAGAAGGCAGACAUGUAUGGAUGAGUUGUUCCUGUAUGAUUGUAUUCAUGUGACGUAUGUUCUUUCCUGAUGAAGGCUAUGCCCAAAAAAAAAAAAAAAAAAAAAAA